UGAAAGCAUACAGGGCUAUAUGACAUAUCCGAUUAGAAAUUUUUUAUUUCCCGUGAUGUUUUAUUUCAUGAGGAUGUUUUCCCCUCUCACAAAGUUACUGAGAAAGUGGCAUUUCUGACUCAUUUCCUGGUUUUGUUUUACCCAAGUUCUUCAUUGUGGCAGUGAUUUGUCCCAUCUUCUCACUAACUCUGGUGUUGUACAGUCUGCUUCCGAUUUGACUUCACUGGCCGUUGACAUAUCUGACCAGCCGGUAGUCGCAGCUUCAACUCCGCCGGCCGCCUUGUUUGAUGCUUCGCCGCCCCUUGCACAUUCUUCCUCGUCGACACCUGUGCUUCCGUCGGACCCAUCGGCCGCUGCCGCUCGUUCCAGCUCCACCUCAACUCCGUUGGACCUAUCAGACCCAUCGUCGGCCCCCGCUCCGCCAGCUGUAGCAACACCGGACCCGCCAUCCAUCGUAGCGGUACCCGACCCGUUGGCUGUCGCAGUUCUAGUUCCACCGACCCUUCUUGUUCCAGGUCCGCCGGCCGUUCCUAUUCUCGGGUCGUCGGCCCUUGCCGCUCCCGAUUUGUCGGUCACACCGAACAGCCGCCCCUUCGUUCAGUUGCUGUCCAGCCGCCUGCCAUGCCUAUUUUACAGCCUAUUCUAUGAGCUACAACACCACAUAAUAAGGUUUUGGACCUUUUUGAUACAACUUUACAUUAUGAUACUUGUCAGGAUAUAGUACCUCAUGAGUUGUCCACUUCAUCCCUGAAUGAAGCCUCUGAAACAUCUGGUACAACAUUAACUCUUGCACCACAACAAGGUUUUCGUUUUUCUACACGCCUCAAGCCUCCUCCUCAUUUAAAGGACUAUCAUUGUAGUCUUCUUUAUUCUACAAUUUUGCCUGACACUUCUAUCAGAUAUCCUUUACAAAUUUUAUCAUCAAGUGGUGGGUUUUGAGCAUGCAAUGGAGGACAAUCAUACUUGGAGUGUUGUUUCUCUCUCCUCCAGUAAGCAUACUAUUGGGUGUAAGUGGAUUUUUAAAAUUAAGCAUCGUGCUGAUGGCUCUAUUGAGCGCUAUGAAGCCCGUUUAGUAGCCAAGGGGUACACACAAUAGGAAGGUUUGGAUUUUUUGCAAACUUUUUCUCUGGUAGCUAAAUUGGUUACUCUUAAAACUCUUUUUACUGUUGUUGUGUAUGGACUUGCAUCUCGGAUAUAAACCCCCUAUUUCUGUCAAUGGUGAUCAGUUGGUAUGCAAAUUACAUAAAUCGCUUUAUGGCCUCAAGCAAGCUUCUCGCCAAUGGUUUGCAAAAUUUUCAUAAUUUUUACUAUCUCUUGGUUUUCGACAAUCAAAGGGUGAUUAUUCAUUGUUUGUGAAGGGUGAUGGGGCUUCGUUUCUUGUUUUACUUUUGAUGAUAUAAUUAUUACUGGGAUGUCUAUUUCAGCCAUUAAUAACCUGAAGGCGCUUCGUCAUGCUCAAUUCAAACUCAAGGAUCUUGGUUCUCUAAAAUAUUUUCUUGGUCUUGAGCUUGCUCGGUCCUCUUCAGGCAUUUUUAUUUCUCAACGUCAUUACACAUUAUAGUUAGUUGAAGACACUGGAUUUCUUGGUUGCAUGCCUAAUUUUGUUCCUGUGAAUCCUUGCUUGAAGUUGUGUUCUUCUGAUGUUGAUUUGCUUACUGAUCCUUUGAUAUUUCGUCGUCUCAUUGGACGGUUUUUAUACUUGACCAUUUCUCGUCCUGAUAUCACUUUUGCUGUGCAUCGGCUUAGUUAGUUCAUGUCUAGCCCUUGUAAUUCGCAUCUUGCAGCGGCUCAUGACUUGUUGCGGUAUUUGAAGACCUCUCCUGGUCAAGCGUUCUGUCACUGGGUUUUGUGUUUUUCUUGGCGAUUCUUUGGUUUCUUGGACUGAAUACUGUUUCUCGCUCGUCUGCUGAGGCUGAGUAUCGUGCUUUUUCAGUCGCUGCUUGCAAAGUUUGUUUGGCAUGAUCUUCGUAUUUCUUUUGAGCUCCCUGCAGUGUUUUUUUUUGUGAUAAUCAAUCUGCUAUUCGUCUUGCCUCCAAUCCUGUUUUUCACGUGCAUACCAAACAUAUCGAGUUGGAUUGCCAUUUUAUUAGGGUAAAGAUUGUUGCAGAAACUAUUAAGCUUCUUCCUGUUUGCUCUAGUCUUCAACUUGCCGAUCCGUUUACAAAGUCGUUGCUUGCUUCCCGUCUUUUUUCUGCUCUUGUCCAAGAUGGGCGUUUUAGAUAUCCACCGUCCAUCUUCAGGGGCGUAUUACGAAUAGAUAUUUUGUUAACUACUUACCUUUCUGUUCCUAUAUUUUUGUUAUUAAGUUACUCUAGGUAGUUGUGCAGUUA